GGAAAUACCAAUUCCGGUAAAGCUCCCCGACUCAUCAACCCAUCAUCGCCAGCGGCCACACCCACACGGAGAUGGCGGUGGCUGCGGCGGUUGCGGGACUGGGAGUGACCACGACCCACCGUUCCUGCUGCCUCGCCUCCGCUCACCGGAGGACUCAGCAUCGCCGCCGGCGUCCUGCUCCUCCGCGCGCUUCGGGAGUAGUGGAGGUGCGGGUCUGCACGAACCGCACGUGCGCGCGGCAGGGCGGGCGCGAGGUCCUCGCUGCGCUAGCGGGCCUCGCGCCCCCGCGCGUCGUCGUGGACUCCUGCGGGUGCCUCGGCCGCUGCGGCGCGGGGCCCAACGUCGCCGCCUCCGUCGGCGGGAGCGCCGCGGUGUUUGGUCACGUGGGCACGGCGGCGCGCGGCGCGCAGCUCCUGGAGCACCUCCUCGGCGCUGCGGAGUUCGACGCGGCUGCGGGGCUCUCCGCGCUCGCCGCGCGGGAGAAGGCCGAGGCUGCCCUUGAGAAGGGAAGCGCGGCUGAAGCGGAAGGCCUCCUGAAUGAGGUUAUUGGGCUCAACGCUUGUGGUGGUAUGCAUUUGGUGUACAGGAGCAGGUCUAAGGCGAGACUAGCAAUAGGGGAUAUCUCUGGUGCGCUUGAGGAUGCCGAGGAAGCAAUAAGAAUAUCCCCCAAAUUUACUCAGGCUCACUUGUUACGAGGGGAUGCGCUUCUUGCAAUGGGUGAAUAUUGUGCUGCAGAAAAUGCUUAUGAAGAUGCGUUGGAUCUUGAUCCCUCUAUUCGCCGGUCCAACUCUUUCAAGGAUCGAACCAUCAUUUUCUGAUAUCCUAUCAGUUGCCUCAAUUCAGUAGGCGGUACUAACCUCCUGUAAUGAUUUCAAUAAUUAGUUAUCCUCGCCCUCUGUACUCUUUAUAUUCUUAUGAAAUGUAUAAAGUUGUUACCUUUGUGGUCUGCUAGCAGAGCUUCUGAGGUUGGAACUAUCAGUGCAACAUUGUUAUUCGCUUGCAUCAGCUCCCAGCUGAUAUGCUCAUCCAUUUGGAUUCCUACCAAACAAAUGCUGCCACAAUAUGUUAGCUCAAGCAUUGUGUGAGGUCAAAGCCGAUGGGCGGCGACCUGACCUGACCUGCGGGUGGUUCCCACGCCGACGUUUCGUUCCCACCGUUUCGGAUGCGUGGCGCUAAAGCGAAACACUCGUGGAGGCAACUGUAGCUGUAGCCCUUCCAAACGGCCCCAGCACCCAGCUGUUACUAGUAACAUUCGCCAUUGUUGCACCGGAUGGCACGAGGUGAAAUCCUAUUUGCGGCGUGCAGAAUGGGCGCACCUAAACAGGAACACCUACCAAGGCCUAAACAAGUGUGACGCCGCGCCCUAACGAGACGAUUGUGUUGUUGGUCACGGAAAUAUCUUCACUGCAAAGAAUUAAGGUGCUGAUGUGCCCCCAUGGCCUGCUUUCGGUUCGUGCGUCCACGGUAAGUAGGGAAAAAGGAGAGGAGGUGAGAGGUGGUGGCACAUCGGCGAAAUGGCCAGUCAAGGAAGGGGGG